rnacentral:rRNA from 1 species
AUACGGAGGAUGCAAGCGUUAUCCGGAUUCAUUGGGUUUAAAGGGUGCGCAGGCGGAGAGAUAAGUCAGUGGUGAAAAACUGCCGCUCAACGGUAGUCUUGCCAUUGAUACUGUCUUUCUUGAGUAUGGAUGAGGUAGGCGGAAUGUGCAGUGUAGCGGUGAAAUGCAUAGAUAUUGCACGGAACACCAAUUGCGAAGGCAGCUUACUGGACCAUUACUGACGCUCAGGCACGAAAGCGUGGGGAUCAAACAGGAUUAGAUACCCUGGUAGUCCACGCAGUAAACGAUGUUCACUCGCUGUUUGCGAUAUACUGUAAGCGGCUUAGUUAAAGCAUUAAGUGAACCACCUGGGGGGUACGAUCGCAAGGUUGAAACUCAAAGGAAUUGACGGGG